rnacentral:rRNA from 1 species
GAUGAACGCUGGCGGCGUGCCUAAUACAUGCAAGUCGAGCGAACAGACGAGGAGCUUGCUCCUCUGACGUUAGCGGCGGACGGGUGAGUAACACGUGGAUAACCUACCUAUAAGACCGGGAUAACUUCGGGAAACCGGAGCUAAUACCGGAUAACAUGUUGAACCGCAUGGUUCAACAGUGAAAGACGGUUUUGCUGUCACUUAUAGAUGGAUCCGCGUCGCAUUAGCUAGUUGGUAAGGUAACGGCUUACCAAGGCAACGAUGCGUAGCCGACCUGAGAGGGUGAUCGGCCACACUGGAACUGAGACACGGUCCAGACUCCUACGGGAGGCAGCAGUAGGGAAUCUUCCGCAAUGGGCGAAAGCCUGACGGAGCAACGCCGCGUGAGUGAAGAAGGUCUUCGGAUCGUAAAACUCUGUUAUUAGGGAAGAACAAAUGUGUAAGUAACUAUGCACGUCUUGACGGUACCUAAUCAGAAAGCCACGGCUAACUACGUG